ensembl:lncRNA
GGGAAGUGAAGCUAGUCAGCCCAGAGAGGGAGGUGAAGCUAGUCAGUCCGAAGAAGGAGGUGAAGCUAGUCAGACCAGAGAUGGAGGUGAAGCUAGUCAGACCAGAGAGGGAGGUGAAGCUAGUCAGACCAGAGAGGGAGGUGAAGCUAGUCAGACCAGAGAGGGAGGUAAAGCUAGUCAGACCAGAGAGGGAGGUGAAGCUAGUCAGCCCAGAGAGGGAGGUGAAGCUAGACAGCCCAGAGAGGGAGAAACAGCAGUGAAAGAAAGACGUCUGUUCCUCGACUCUGUCUUCCUGAUGUAUUAUGACAGUAAUGAUGCCCCUGGGAACAGCCAUGUGAGG